UUAGAUGCAUUUUCACAAAUGGAAUACACCUAUGUAACCAGUUCCCUGGUCAGGAAUCCAAACAUUUCAUUACUCCAAAAGCUCCAUCUUCCUUUUCCAAAUUCUGAAGCCCUAAGGACAGCCACAUCUCUGAUUGCUAACAGCAAACUUUGGUUGUGCUUGGAUUCAUACUUUGUUUGAGUAGAAUCAUACAGUAGUAUGGACUUUUGGGUAUGAUUUCUCUCAUUGUCUUUAAGUAUAUUAUAAUAUUGUGUGAGUGCAGAUCAUAAGACUGUUUCUCGAUUGUUGUUACUUGGUUUCAAUAUAUUAUUAGAGAUAUAAAUAGGAUUGUUACAUUCAACUAUUUAGUGAUUCUCUAAACCCCAGUUUUCCAUUGUCUUGUAUAGAGUAUAUUACACCUGAAGAAUUAGAAUCCCACUGAUAAAGAUAUAGUAAUUAGAUAAGAGACCAAAGGAAUGGCUAUGAGCAUCUUUUCUAUAAUAUGAAGCUUUGAUCUCCAAGGUACCUUUUGUCCUAUGCUAGAGGUUUCUUCUGAAUGUUGGGUAACUUCAGUUGCAUUUUGAAAGGUAAAUUUUAGUUCCAGAAAAUAGCAAAGAUAAGUGGGGUCUAGGGCUAGCUGAUUUGCACAAUAGAAAGCCAAGUUUGGCAAGGAAUGAUGCAUCAUUUCAAAGGCCAUUACGAUGACCAGUAACCAAGAGAUAGCAAACUGGAAUCUUAGCACAGAUAGCAUCUUUUGUUUUACCAGUAAAUUUGGAUCUAGUAACAAAGAAAAAGUUGAUUUCUUCAAAGAUGUGGGCUUCAGAAAAGGUACCCUUACUCCUGGUUUUACUGUGGAUGCCUGUGUUUAAUAUAAGUCUAUGAAAGUUAAUGGCAAAGGUUAUGAUAAGAAAAGUCAGGCUUUUUAAUCCAUAUGUGCCGAAUAUUGUGCUAAUCAUUUUCCCACAUACAUACCAUCACCUUUGAUUCUUACCAUGUACCUGUGGUUACUAUUAUUAUCUCUUUUAUAAAACAGAAAACUAAAGCUCAAAGAUACUAAGCAAGCCAAGCACUGAGGCUGGAUUCAAUCCUGCAUCUGGCUCUAGAAGCUGGUGGUCCCUUCACAAGCUCUCUCAGGAGGCUGUAGGGCAAUGUGCAAGGAAGAGGCCUUACUCUCUGCCAUUGACUCUAGAAAGCCACCUAGAGUUGGACACGAACCUCCUGAAAACAUUAACUCUAUUGUUUCUCUAUUGUGAUGUGGGCAAGCAGCUCAGGGUUGUAAUAGAAGAGGAAACUUGUUUUUUCUCUCCCGGUAUAGAAUUGUUAGCAAGAGGAAACAAGAUUCCUUAGAUGUGAGGUAUGGCCAAAAAUCUGGCUCAUAGCUAAUUCAACUAGUUUGGGGUUGUCAAUUUGGCUACACAAUUGGCCCCUCUAUGCUACCAAACCCUCCUAAGGGAUACUCCCUGCUGGCCCUUUGGUUUGUGGUUAUACCUACUGAGGCAUAUUAUAUAUUUUUGCAUGAAGCUGUGUUGGAGAUUCCUUUAAGCUAAAUAUAACAUCUGGAAAGUAGCCUCCUGUCUACUGCUAAAAAACAGAACCACUUUGUCCAGGAUUCUAGGGAAACUUGAGUCCAUUCAGUGUUUCUGACAGCUCCUUCAUUUAAUGAAAGCCCAAUCUGUCUGACCCCUGUUAGAAGCAGUUUGGGUAAAUAUUACUACUACCACCUUCGUUUAUUUAAUAUGGUGGCUUCAAAAAUGGUGACUCUCACCCCCACAUGAAAGAGGCAUAAUUUUUCCCAUUUUAUCAGUUAAACCAUAAUACAUUUGAAAGAGGAAUUUUUUCCAUUUUAUCAGUUAAAUCAUAAGAAGAAAAUGUUGCAAUAGUAUAACACAAUAGCUGAGACUGAAUAAUACAUUUGGAAGAGGAAUAAUUUCCCCAUUUUAUCAGCUAAACCAUAGUACAUUUGGGUCUGCUGUUUCCCACAUAGGAGAGGACAUUCCUCUAGGCUUCCUCCUUUCACCAUGCAGAUGUCACUUUAAACACCUCUGCCUCAAUCUUGUAUUCUAGCCCUUGGCAGAUGCUCUCACUUAAGCUUGGGAGCUGGUGGGUUCAGGCAGUCCUACGGCUCUUGAUUGUAUCCUUGCAGUUCCAGUUAACUGUACUUCUAAUUUAGUUUCAGUGCUCUAUUUCUCCUCUGGCAGCAACUCAGUUUAAAUUAAGAAAGCUAGGUCACAUUCCCCACAGACUAGUAGUUCUCAACUUUGCCUGUGCAUAAAAGUUAUUUGGGGAAUUUUAAGAAAAAUCUUUGUGACCUUGAAUCGACAAAGAUGCCUCAGAAUAUUAAAAAGUGUGCACUAUAAGAGAAAAAAAUAAGUCAAACUUCAUCAAGUCAUGAACUUUUUGAAAAGAUAUUUUAAAGAAAAUGAAAA
ensembl:sense_intronic Gm29488 predicted gene 29488